GGGUCAGUAGGUUGGUCGUGCCACCGGUACGUACUGGUCUCACUGAUUCCUCCUUCCUGAAGAACCGUAAUGCCAUUAAUUUGGUGUUGCGGGGAAACAGGACUGUUACUUUGAAAAAAUUAGAGUGUUUAAAGCGAGCUAGCGCUUGAAUACAUUAGCAUGGAAUAAUGAAAUAGGACGAUCGAUCCUAUUUUGUUGGUUUCUAGGAUUGACGUA
rnacentral:rRNA from 1 species